UACGUAGGGUGCAAGCGUUAAUCGGAAUUACUGGGCGUAAAGCGUGCGCAGGCGGUUUUGUAAGUCUGACGUGAAAGCCCCGGGCUCAACCUGGGAAUUGCGAUGGAGACUGCAAGGCUUGAAUCUGGCAGAGGGGGGUAGAAUUCCACGUGUAGCAGUGAAAUGCGUAGAGAUGUGGAGGAACACCGAUGGCGAAGGCAGCCCCCUGGGUCAAGAUUGACGCUCAUGCACGAAAGCGUGGGGAGCGAACAGG
rnacentral:rRNA from 1 species